rnacentral:rRNA from 1 species
UACGUAGGGUGCAAGCGUUGUCCGGAAUUAUUGGGCGUAAAGAGCUCGUAGGCGGUUUGUCGCGUCUGCUGUGAAAUCUGGGGGCUCAACCCCCAGCCUGCAGUGGGUACGGGGCAGACUAGAGUGCGGUAGGGGAGAUUGGAAUUCCUGGUGUAGCGGUGGAAUGCGCAGAUAUCAGGAGGAACACCGAUGGCGAAGGCAGAUCUCUGGGCCGUAACUGACGCUGAGGAGCGAAAGCAUGGGGAAGCGAACAGG